rnacentral:rRNA from 1 species
UACAGAGACCUCAAGCGUUAUCCGGAAUCAUUGGGCGUAAAGCGUGCCGAUAGGUGGUUUAUUUAGUCUUGGGUAAAAGCCAGAAGCUCAACUUCUGAGUUUGCUUAAGAUACUAAUAGACUAGAGGGGCAGAGAGGUGCUUGGAACGAACGGUGUAGUAGUGAAAUGCGUUGAUAUCGUUCGGAACACCGAUAGCGAAGGCAGAGCACUGGUUGCCACCUGACACUGCUAGGACGAAAGCGUGGGGAGCGAAUGGG